CUCUGCCUGUGUACCCAAUUAUGAAGCUUAUUCCACAUUUUUAGGUAUUCUUACAACAAUUUUCCCUUUUUGGUUUCAAUUUUUUGUAUUAAGCCAUUUUUGCAUUAUUAUGAAUGCCUGAGACUGGGUAAUUUAUUUUUAAAAAGGAAGUUUAACUGGCUCAUGAUUCUACAGGCUGUAAAGAAGACAUAGCCCUGGCAUAUGCUUCUGGGGAGGCCUCUGGAAGUCUACAAUCAUGGCAGAAGAUGAAGCAGAAUCUUGCACAUCACAGGACAAAAAGCAGGAGCAAAAAACAAAGGAGUUCUUGUUUGUUUGUUUUGAGACAGAGUUCAGCUCUGUCACCAGGCUGCAGUGCAGUGGCUCAGUGUCGGCUCACUGCAACCUUCACCUCCCAGGAUCAAGUGACUCUCCUGCCUCAGCUUCCUGAGUAGCUGGGACCACAGGUGUGUGCCACCACACCCAGGUAAUUUUUGGAAUGUUAGCAGAGACAGGGUUUCACCAUGUCAGCCAGGAUGGUCUUGAUUUCUUGACCUUGAUUUCUUGCCUUGGCCCCCAAAAGUGCUGGGAUUACAGGCAUGAACCUGGACUUUGUUGGUUCAUUUUAAAGGAAAAAAAAAAAACCCUCAUAAUAUGUGCUACCAGGAAGCAUAAACAGUGAAGAUUUCUUUACAUAUUUAUUGCAAAGGCCUGGAUCUUAGGAAUUCAAUUGAAUGUUUUUUUAAACAAAUUAUUUUCUUAAUCUUAUCUGAAAGCAUAGGCUUUGGGGACACAGCGGGGCCACAUCUCUUACCUAUCUGAGCCUUAGUAUCAUCCUCUUCUGUGAUCAUGAGAACUAAAGACCCACCUUAAAGAUCUGAUAAGGUAGUAAAGUGCUUCACAUAAUGCCU
rnacentral:lncRNA from 13 species